CGGAUUGUAGUCUGCAACCCAACUACAUGAAGCUGGAAUCGCUAGUAAUCGCGGAUCAGAAUGCCGCGGUGAAUACGUUCCCGGGUCUUGUAUACACCGCCCGUCACACCAUGGGAGUCGGAAAUGCCCGAAGUCUGUGACCCAACCUUAGGGAGGGAGCAGCCGAAGGCAGGUCGGAUGACUGGGGUGAAGUCGUAACAAGGUACC
rnacentral:rRNA from 1 species